rnacentral:rRNA from 1 species
GCUGGCGGCGUGCCUAACACAUGCAAGUGGAGCGACGAACCAGGCUUCGGCCUGGGGCAAAGCCGCGAACGGGUGAGUAACACGUGGGUAACCUGCCCCGAUGAUUGGGACAACCCGAGGAAACUCGGGCUAAUACCGAAUGUGCCCUCCGGCCAUAAGGCCGCUGGGGAAAGGAAGCUUCGGCCUCCGCAUCGGGAUGGGCCCGCGGCCCAUUAGCUUGUUGGUGAGGUAACGGCUCACCAAGGCGACGAUGGGUAGCUGGUCUGAGAGGACGAUCAGCCACACUGGGACUGAGACACGGCCCAGACUCCUACGGGAGGCAGCAGUGGGGAAUCUUGCGCAAUGCGCGAAAGCGUGACGCAGCAACGCCGCGUGGGGGAAGAAGGCCUUCGGGUUGUAAACCCCUUUCAGUUGGGACGAAGCUUCGCCGGUGAAUAGCCGGCUGGAGUGCCGGUACCUUCAGAAGAANCCCCGGCUAACUACGUGCCAGCAGCCGCGGUAAUACGUAGGGGGCAAGCGUUGUCCGGAAUCAUUG